rnacentral:tRNA from 1 species
CUAGACAGGCGGGCUUCGAUCCCGCAAACCUCUAAUUAACAGUUAAAUGCCUCAACCUACAGGCUUCUGUCUA